rnacentral:tRNA from 1 species
CCUUCGAUAGCUCAGUUGGUAGAGCGGAGGACUGUAGAUCCUUAGGUCGCUGGUUCAACUCUGGCUCGAAGGA